ACUACGCUCUUGCGCGCGGGAGCAAACCAUUCCUUCCGCCUGACGGGGGAGGCUGUAGGACCGAACCAUUUCCGCGGCGGGGGUACAGUGUGAGUUGCGUGCAUCAGCUGCUGUGUCCAGCUGGUCGCAGCACGAGGUCGUCGUUUCGGAAACAGAGAGCUGGCGUACGGAUAAAACAGGCCUGCUUUUGAGCAGCCUGUUUUUGCAAACCCUAACUAACAUGGUGUGAGAAAACCAAAAUGCAGCCCUACCCCACCUAUCUCUCCAGCCACCACAUCACUCGACUGGUCCAUCACACCAGGGGCCUACCAAGUGCUCUCAAGCUGGCUGAGAGUCACAUCUGCCUGCGGAAUUGGGGUGCAGGACCCUCUGGCUUCCCCAGGAGCCCCAUCUGGGCAGACUCGCUGUAGGAAGCACAUGGUGUGGAAGCGGAUGUUGAAUGUGCCAAGGUCAGACCCAGGAAGACUGAAGCUGUAUAAGCUUCUUGCCGUGGAGACAGUAUACUCAGAGAGAGGAGGCAUGCUCCCCCAGAGUCCUGACUGGCUUCGUAUCGAGUAGUUCCUGAUCAUUGUCCCGGUCACUCCGUGACAACAAGGCAUGGAAGCAUUACUCAUUUACAGAGCAAGUCAUCAGCACUUGUCUGUCUGGAGUGGCUUGCUUGAAAUCCUCAUGUAUGUUUCCUUCUAUAAGAUGUGGCUCAGCUGAGU